UAUGACAUUUUAUGACCGUUCAGCUGUGUCAGCAAACAAUUAGCUGAGCCUCCUACCAUGGAGGAAGAAAAAAAGAUUUUCCAGUUUCUUCCGCCCAGAAAAUUUCACACAAAUCCUUCCCAGUUCCAAGAUCAAGAAAGUCAGAACCCCAGAGGAAGAUGCCCAUUGUGGAAGAGGCUCUUUGUAUGAACUGCAAAAACCCAAGCAAGCUCUCUGCCAUUUUCCUUAUUGGUCUCCUACCCACUUACUGUGCAGGCAGAUAUAUAUGCCGCCUAAUGAGAACUGACAUUUCUUAUGCUGCAUCUUACAGCUUCUGCCCCAACUUAAUACUUUGCAGGUGUUACCUUAUUACAAAGUAAGCUUUGAGGCAAUAAGCUUUGAGAAAACUUAGUGGUUAUUAUGAAAGGAAAAGAUGAUUUGCGUUGUAAAGCAGUGUACCUUUACAGUCAUCAAGUCUUUAUCACAGGACCGACAUUUGGAAAAUACUGGUGCUGCCAACUGCAGGCAAAGUCCUUCCCCAGAGCUCCAGAUGAAGCUCAUUGUCAUUGUGGAACAGACUUUUCCUAGGGAAAAUUGUAAAGUUGAAAGUCAGGAUUGUACAGUGGAGAAGCAUUGGAAUGGAAAAGUAGACAAGAUUUGGGUCUGAGUCCAGCCCUAAUCCUUCCUAGUGACAUGAGGUAAGUCUUUACCUUAAUCUCUCUGGGCAUCAAAUUAUUCAUCUAUAAACAGAAGAUUUUUUAGAAGA
rnacentral:lncRNA from 1 species